rnacentral:lncRNA from 1 species
UCCAAACUAAAUUUAAAUAACAACAUAUGAAUUAAGUGUGACACCCCCAAAUUUGGGUACUUCAUUCUCACAAGAUUUGGUGUUCACUGUCCAAAAUAAUCACAUCUAUACCCAUACAUAAAGGUUAUAAAUGAAACUCACAACUUAAAUAGAAAUCCUCCUAUUAAAGGUUACAACAUCAUAAAUAAAUCAAAUGUUGUUUAACCUUAAAUACAUCAAAUGCGAAAACAUAAUAUAAUUAAAUAAGUCUUAUACAUAAACAUUUGCAAAUAACAAUUAACAAGUCCUCAUCACGUGUUCAUCUUGCCUUUGCCCUUACUAGUGGACGGCUCGUCGAUUCUUUCAACCUUAACUGCAAUGUUAUUAUGCAAGAGUGAGCAAACAAUUGCCCACAAGUAUAACAAUAGCAAUAGUAAUCAUAUGAGAGAAAUCAAGGGAUACAGGAUAAAAGAAAGCUUAGCUUUUGAAUCAAGAUUAGAAAAUUAACAAGAUCAAAAGUACAUCUAAGGGUCGCAAGACCAUGAACUAUGUCCUAGGUUAUCAAAUAUUUAUACUUUAAACUUUUAACAGUCAUAAGACAAUAUGGACCUUACUUCUCGUUGUGACGCCCCCAAAAUAGGUAUACAUCACCCAUUCUGAGUCGCCAAAUACAUGGUACACAAACAACUACAACUUCAUUAAUACAAUUGUCGUGCAAAAUACGACAACACAUAUACUGUGAGUUUAAAUACAAAUAUUUUCUUCUAGACAAUAUCCACACUCAGAUAAAGUCCUCAUUACAAUUAUUGAUGCACUAUUUUACAAAAUAGUGAAGACUGCUAAAACAACUAUUUUGAACCAUCACUCCAUACCCCGGCUAGUUCUUGCUAAAUUCUCACCUCCUAAGAAGAAAAAUGGAGCAAAAAGGAAAAUGGUAAGCUCAACUAGCCUAGUAAGAAAUAUUAUAACUAAGAUAAUGCAGAAUAAAUUAUUCUUAGCCUUUAAUAGUAUAAGAAUUGAUAGAAUACAAUAGAUAACAUGUUUUUGAUCAACAACUGCACCGAAACAAGCAAUCCAUUAGAAGAGUCAAGUAGAGCAUGAUAUCUACUAUCUUCUAUGAUUUAAAAAGUUUAUCAUCAAUUUUAUCGCUGAGACUCAGCUUAAUAAAUAAUCCACAUCACUGAAUUAUCCAUGCACUACGGGCCAAGGAUAUUCAUUAGUAUCACGUCCACGAAUUAUCCAAGUACUACAGGCCAAAUAUAUUCGUGUUAUCACCAAUUAAUGGUCAUAAUCAUACCAACCACUGUCCAUCAAUGCACUACGGGCCAAUGAGGACUUUUAUCACAUCAUUUGUAAUAUUACGGUUAUGAUUAUACCGAAUAAUCCCUGGUCAUAAUCAUACCAAUCAACAGUCUAUCUAUGUACGUAAGCCACAUAUGACUUUUAUCACAAAAUAAGCAUGAUGAUGAUGACAAUGAUAUAAGAAUUCAAUUAAAAGAAAGCAAAGGAUAAAUUUUAAAGAUUUAUUAUUUAAUUUAUCCAGAAUUCAAUAAAAUCAAAAUUGUCAACAUGAUACUGCUUUGUGGAGUAAAGUUCAAGAAAAAUAUUGUAUCAAAAAUGAUUUGGACAUAAAAGAAAUCAAUUUUUGUCAUGAAUAGUAUCCCGGGUGAAUAGUACUCGAGUGAAUAGUACAUCAUGAAUAAUACUUCAGGAAUAGUACCCUGUGAAUAGUACUCCAACAUGAAAAGAUUAAAAUUUAACAAGAAUUUCAUAAAAAUAUCCUUGUGAAACGAUACUAGAUGAAGCUCAAAUUUCAAGGAUAUUCUACUAAUUUCAAGGAGUAUAGAAGCAAUACUUAACAACAUGAGUGUAGAAUUCAGAAUCUGAAACGAAAUAAUAUUACUUACAUACUACAUGGUAUGGAAGAAAAUAUUAUUUCAUACGAAUAUUGAACAAAAAUAGUAUCCCUUACGAAUACGAAAGAAAUAAUACCCCUUACCUUAAUAGGAGAUUAGAUACUGCAAUAGUGUAGUGACAGAAUACUCGUCUUCUUUCUCUCUUAUUCUCUCUAUACUUUCUCUCUCUAUAGCUU